ensembl:lncRNA
CAUUACAAUGGCAAACUUUGUAUAAAAAUCUCAUGACAGCAAUAAAAGCACUCAGCCUUUGUUAGAGACCCAGAAAGAGAGAGAUGUGAGGGCUGGAACUGAAUGAUGGAGGGUUGCUACUGUUCAGUGAGCUUGUUAGUGAAGGGAUUCUGGAACAGUCACGCAUGAAGGAGCUACAUGUACCUCCGGCCGGCUCUCUAUAAAGCAGAAUCCUUCAGACGUAGACGGUUCUUUGAGCGGUAAUCCAGUUCACAUUGUUUGUCUUCUCUGAAAGAGCGGGAUGAAAGAGAGACAAACUCUUGCAACAGUUUGUAUGCAGAGUGCUGGUGUCUUUAGGAAGCUCAGGAUAGUGAGGAUGUUUCAGACGUCAGAGCUACAGCAAACACCUGCCAUCUAUUGGACCAUGUGUUCUUCAUCAGCAGCUUUGACGCUUAUCUGUACGUGUGUGUUUGUACUUUGCCAAAAUGUUCUACACACACACACACAAAGAACAAAAUAAAAACAAACAAAAAGUGAGCCACUGGGGG